rnacentral:sRNA from 1 species
ACAAUAGUUUUCUCUGUUUUAGUGUUAUUUGUUUAAACAAAGUUAUGGCGGUACACUUAAGUAGAUAUUGCACAGCCAUCAUGUGAAUGACAUUAUUUCUAAGAAUCUCUCAUUACUUACAACUUUAAGUUGUACAGUUAAAAAAUAACAACAACAAAAUCGCCAAGUUACUAGCACACAACAUCAAGUCAAAGGAUCAAGACGAAAAAAAAGUACAGCGGUGCUUAUAUAUUUAUGCAUUUAUGAGCACUUCUCAUGUCAUUAAAUCUUGUAAUUAGGAGCUCUGUCAUUCUCUACAAACAAAAUUGGUAAAUAUAUAUUUAUUGAAAAUUUGGCAAUUUUGGAUUCAUCACAAAUGGGAAUUAUUAAUGAUUCAUUUUUAUCUAUUUGUGUUGACGAAUUUUAUAUUUAUUUUAUGAUUUCACAUACAACAAGACUUUACAAUCUUAUGAUUAGAGUAUGUGAAUUUUAACAGCAUAAAAUUUGUGUGUACAACAUUUGAUUACGAACUAAUAGCUUUGUAAACUUGUUCAAUUUGCUGGUCUCCGAUGGGAACUGGAAACUCACAUCAUAUGCUUUGCCUUCUGUCGGUAAUAAGCAUGAAUUUAGAUUUAUUUGGGUUUAUGAGAAGAUGUUUGCAGUGGCCCAUGCAGAGAAUAUCGUGGUCAACACAAUCGAAGUCUUUUGAAUGGUCUAGUAGUACCAAACAGGCUGCAAGUCCGUCGUCAAUGCCAGCUGUGACAGAACUAUGAUUUGCUCUAAAGCCUGACUGCUUGUCCGAGAGUAGGCAAUGCUCAUCUAUAUAUCCGUGCAUUUGUUUGUGAACUAUGCGCUCAAAAACCUUGGAAAGAAAUGGAAAAAUAGAAUUUGGGCGAUAAUCGUUUCCAGUUUUAGAUUUAGGGAUAGGCACUAUCUUCGCAUGUUUCCAUGUUUGACAUAUCUUGUUAAAAAGAUAUGUCAAACAUGGCAAAAUAAAUGGCAGCAUAAUUUUUAAAAAUAUGGGAUGAAUUGAGUCCAAGCCAAUCGCAGAAAAAUUCCAAUUCUGAAGAUUGAGGAAAAGGAGGUACUGCUGCUGGGGGUAAGACCAAACGCUCCGACGUGUUGCUGGAUGCAAUAUUUGCGGAGUCAUUUAAUUGUUUAAGGGCAUCCGGAUUCUCAUCAGUGCAAGUACGCAUGGAUUUGCCUACACCGAUGUAUUGUAUUCCAUUUCCUUUUAGUAUUGACAGCAUUUUGAAAUUUAGCUUGAUAAUAAUUUGCUUUGGACCUUUGUAUCAUUCUAUUAACCUCUGUUCUUCUCAACCGAAAUUCAUCAUGAAGCUGCUCCGAUUUGAAUUUUUUCCACCUUUUAUGAGCCAUAUCUCUUUUUCCCAAUCAUCUAUUUUAUGCUACGAUUAAACCAUUCUUUGUGGUUUUGACGAUUUCGAAAAAUUUGUUGGAGAACUGAAGAUAGAAGGUGCAGAACAUUUUAAUUUAUAAAAGUGCGGUGUUCAUUAACUGUAAUAAAAUGAAACAUUUGACUCCAGUCUUAUGUCGAGAAACUCUGAUAUCAGUACAGAAUAA